CCGCACGAUAGGUCAGGGGGAGAUGGCCACAGACUAGGCCCCACACGGGCGGGCACAAUACACACAUACCUGCGUCCGGGGGGCGACCCACGGACAGGCCCAGAUGGGGAGGCCGCGGAGCACCUCCUUCCCAACGGGACAGGUGGAGGCACACGGGCUGCGCGGACCUGGCCCUCGGGCCCGGACGUGCGGGAGCCCCCUUGGGCACACAUCAACCACAACACCAUCCCAAGCUUACGGAGAGCCGCCCCCCGCACAGGUGGGGCCUAGACAACAGAACCCCCUCGGCCCAGACCGCACCACGUCACACAGAGACCUCGCACACACAAAUG